rnacentral:tRNA from 1 species
GAAAUAAUUAUUAAUAAGCUUCUAACUUAUUCUCAAACUAUUAAAGUUUAUAUUUCU